rnacentral:rRNA from 1 species
GACGAACGCUGGCGGCGUGCUUAACACAUGCAAGUCGAGCGGGGAUACAGGCUAGCACUGAUUGCUUAGCGAAAAGCAAGCGUGGCGGAUCACUAUGUGAUCUGCGAGGCCCCAAUAAGUGAUUAACACAAUUGAGGGAAGUGCGUGGGAGGCAGUUACUACGUAACUGCAGAGAGCUGCGCACAUCGCGAAGCGAUGAGUGCUGGGCUGUAUUCUAGCAGCGGACGGGUGAGUAACGCGUGAACAAUCUGUCCCAGACAGGGGGAUAACACUUGGAAACAGGUGCUAAUACCGCGUAAGACCACGGAGUCGCAUGGCUCUGAGGUAAAAGGAGCAAUCCGGUUUGGGGUGAGUUCGCGUCUGAUUAGCUAGUUGGUGGGGUAAAGGCCUACCAAGGCAACGAUCAGUAGCCGGACUGAGAGGGCGAACGGCCACACUGGAACUGAGAGACGGUCCAGACUCCUACGGGAGGCAGCAGUGGGGAAUAUUGGGCAAUGGGGGGUACCCUGACCCAGCAACGCCGCGUGAGGGAAGAAGGUUUUCGGAUUGUAAACCUCUGUCCUUGGUGAAGAAAGAAAUGACGGUAGCCAAGGAGGAAGCCCCGGCUAACUACGUGCCAGCAGCCGCGGUAAUACGUAGGGGGCGAGCGUUGUCCGGAAUGACUGGGCGUAAAGGGCGUGUAGGCGGCUAAAUAAGUCUGAAGUGAAAGUCCUGCUUUCAAGGUGGGAAUUGCUUUGGAUACUGUAUAGCUUGAGUGCGGAAGAGGUAAGUGGAAUUCCCAGUGUAGCGGUGAAAUGCGUAGAGAUUGGGAGGAACACCAGUGGCGAAGGCGACUUACUGGGCCGUAACUGACGCUGAGGCGCGAAAGCGUGGGGAGCGAACAGGAUUAGAUACCCUGGUAGUCCACGCGGUAAACGAUGAAUGCUAGGUGUAGCGGGUAUCGACCCCUGCUGUGCCGGAGUAAACACAAUAAGCAUUCCGCCUGGGGAGUACGGCCGCAAGGUUG